GUGCAGAAAAUGCCUUUAAUGCUUUUCCAAAAGUAAAGUUUGCACGGCUUUGUUGGGUUUGGAAUUUGGACCUCGUCUCAUUGGGUGGCUGCUAUAAUAUUUUAGUGCCACCAUGCUUUCUUGGAUUUGUAUCUAUCCUACAAAUACGUGAAUUAACUGGAGCAGGUGAACUUUUUGCAUAAUUGAGGCCAACUCUGGUUUCUGAAGGACUGAACAAGUAAUUACACGUGACAAAUCUGUACCAUUUCGCGCAUUUCAUGGUACUACGUUUUGACAUCAUGUGCCGUCCAAUUUUA